AACGAACGCUGGCGGCAUGCCUAACACAUGCAAGUCGAACGGGAUCCUGGCUUCGGUCAGGUGAGAGUGGCGGACGGGUGAGUAACACGUGGGAAUCUGCCUUUUGGUUCGGGAUAACCGCGGGAAACUGCGGCUAAUACCGGAUGCUCCCGAGAGGGAAAAGAUUUAUCGCCAGAAGAGGAGCCCGCGUCCGAUUAGGUAGUUGGUAGGGUAAUGGCCUACCAAGCCAACGAUCGGUAGCUGGUCUGAGAGGAUGAUCAGCCACACUGGGACUGAGAUACGGCCCAGACUCCUACGGGAGGCAGCAGUGGGGAAUAUUGGACAAUGGGGGCAGCCCUGAUCCAGCAAUGCCGCGUGAGUGAUGAAGGCCUUAGGGUUGUAAAGCUCUUUUGCCAGGGAAGAUGAUGACUGUACCUGGAGAAUAAGCCCCGGCUAACUUCGUGCCAGCCGCCGCGGUAAAAC
rnacentral:rRNA from 1 species